GGGAAGCAGUCCUAGCUCAAAUUCCCAGGGGAGCAGACGGCGAAAGGCAGGAGGAAGGAAGCCCCGGAGCCGGUGCAGGAGCUGUGGGCCCGUCAUGUUGAUUGAACCCAGGAUCUCGGGCAUAUUAGGUAGGUUACCCCUAACCCCAUAGUGAUCCAUGUUUGAAAAAGAUAAGAGCAAGGAGAAGAGGAGUUUGAAAAAAGUUUCUUUUAAAAGAAUAUCCCAUCCCUAGACAAGGUGCCUACCCAUCCUGGUGCUAGAGAAGGAACCAGAGAUCUUUGCAUGCUAGACAUGCAUUUUGUCACAGACCUUCUUUCAUAACCCUAUUCUCUAUAUCUAAUAUACUCACCUUGGUUCAAAAUUUGCAUUUACAACACUUUUAUAAUAUAAUUAUUGAUACUUGCCACUCUUUCCUGAUGCAGAAUCUAUCUCUUAUCCAAGAGAAUCUAGUCGGUAAAUUUUUGUUUGUUUUUUUUUAAAGGUCAGCUCAAGCUAGACAAUUUUGCAUGUCACCUGGGAAGCCAUAUUUUACUAUUAGCGGAUGAAACUUGGCAGCACUUCUGCCCUGUUACAGGAAAAAUGUAAGUGGAUUCUUCAGGGUGUAUCAGUGACAACAGAGGUGCUUACUUAACAGUGCCUCCUGCUUAGGAACCGAUGGCACCUGUGAGGAGGCACUGACUUCUAAUUUGGUCUCAAUCCAUAAUUGUUAUAUGGCUUAGGUAAACAUGAAACUGGAUUAUGGAAAAGCAGGAACAUUUAGGAGUCAUAGAGCCUCUUAGAUAUGCAGCUGUAUUAGCUUGCUUGGGUGUUAUAGGGACACGAAGACACUCCUCUCUACUCAUUAUGACUCCAAGUGGUUAUUGCUUCUUGGUUUAAAUAUAGUUGAGAUGGGUUUUUGUUAUUAAGCAUUUAGUUUGCAUUUAGCUAUGUGGUAUGCUUUAGAGUUAUUUUUAUUAUUGCUUCUUGCAACAACCAAAUUAAAUAGGUGACUCUAAAUUACUAAAGUCCUUAUUUUUAUAAUUAGGAACAGGAAUACACUGCAAUCCAGUGGCUGCUUUGUGUCACCCAAGAACAGUGCAGCUGGAAUUAGGUUGUUGUAGAAGUGUUUCUAGAGCAAUGAAUUGUAUUUUCUUUGGUAGCACUUCCAUAUUAAAGAAGACCAUAGGAACUCAUUGUGGUGUCCAUAGCUGAUGUUCCUAUCACUUAAUAAAACAAUCAUGAGGUUGAGAUGUUAAGAGACCCAGUUCUGGUUUAGAUUACUGGACCUUUGAAUGAAAAAGGAUUCAGUUUUCACAUCUGUAAAACAAAGACUUGGAAUUGAAUGACCCUUGUAGUCCCUUUCAGUUUAAAAACUCUUGGGCACAUAGCAUUUAACGUUAAUUGAAAUUUAAACAUCUUCAUUGUAAACACAUCUUUUUAAUAUUUAAUAAAAUGCCCAAUAUUUUUGUUACUGUAAAAUCAUUGAUCUAAAUUCAAAACCAUACUUUACUUGGAUGGCAUUUCACCAUCUGACAUGUUUUGGCAGUAGAUUUGUGAUUUGACUUAAAAUGACUUUUUUAUUCAAGAAACUGUGUAAAAUUCUUAAAGUUACAGGCAUAAAUCAAAUCUCAAAAAAAGAGAUUAAAAUUAUAGUCCUUGGGUAUUUUGGUGAUUUUGAUAAAGUGUAUUUUAAGCUAUAAUUGAAGGAACGUUUUCCUUAAGAACAUAGCUAAAUAAUUAUAAAUAAAUAGGAUGAGUCUAAGAGGUCUUAGGAAGCAGUGAUAGAAAUGCACAAUAUUGUGCUCGACAAACCUUCCUUUUAAAGAGGGAAGGUGUGUGUGUGUGUGUGUGUGUGUGUGUGUGUGUGUGUGUGUGUGUGUGUGUACCCAGGGAGACCAGAAGGGGGAAUUAGGGGUACAGGUGCUUGUGAGCUGCCAGGCUCAGGUGCUAGGAACCAAACUCUAGUUUCUUUUAGGAGCAGGAAGUAUU
ensembl:lncRNA